UACGAAGGGGGCUAGCGUUGCUCGGAAUCACUGGGCGUAAAGGGCGCGUAGGCGGUCAGCACAAGUCAGUUGUGAAAUCUCCGGGCUUAACUCGGAAAGGUCAACUGAUACUGUGCGACUAGAGUGCAGAAGGGCAACUGGAAUUCUCGGUGUAGCGGUGAAAUGCGUAGAUAUCGAGAGGAACACCUGCGGCGAAGGCGGGUCUCUGGACGGUACUGACGCUGAGACGCGAAAGCGUGGGGAGCGAACAGG
rnacentral:rRNA from 1 species